UACGAAGGGGGCUAGCGUUGCUCGGAAUUACUGGGCGUAAAGCGCACGUAGGCGGUUUCUUAAGUCGGGGGUGAAAUCCUGGAGCUCAACUCCAGAACUGCCUUCGAUACUGGGAAACUUGAGUUCGGGAGAGGUGAGUGGAACUGCGAGUGUAGAGGUGAAAUUCGUAGAUAUUCGCAAGAACACCAGUGGCGAAGGCGGCCAACUGGUCCGGUACUGACGCUGAGGUGCGAAAGCGUGGGGAGCAAACAGG
rnacentral:rRNA from 1 species